UCUCUGGUGGUCCAGUGGCCAAGACUCUGCACUCCCAAUGCAGGGGGCCUGGGUUUGAUCCCUGGUCUGGGAA
rnacentral:tRNA from 1 species